rnacentral:rRNA from 1 species
CGUGCAGGUGGUUUGGUAAGUUGGGUAUGAAAUCUUCUGGCCUAACUAGGAGAGGUUGCUCAAAACUGCCAGACUAGAGGACGAUAGAGGAAGGUGGAAUUCCCGGUGUAGUAGUGAAAUGCGUAGAUAUCGGGAGGAACACCAGUGGCGAAGGCGGCCUUCUGGGUCGUUCCUGACACUAAGACGCGAAAGUAUGGGUAGCAAACAGGAUUAGAUACCCUGGUAGUCC